rnacentral:rRNA from 1 species
UGCCUACGGGAGGCAGCAGUGAGGAAUAUUGGUCAAUGGGCGAGAGCCUGAACCAGCCAAGUCGCGUGAAGGAUGACGGCCCUAUGGGUUGUAAACUUCUUUUGUCAGGGAGCAAUUGAGUCCACGUGUGGGCUUAGCGAGAGUACCUGAAGAAAAAGCAUCGGCUAACUCCGUGCCAGCAGCCGCGGUAAUACGGAGGAUGCGAGCGUUAUCCGGAUUUAUUGGGUUUAAAGGGUGCGUAGGCGGAAUAUCAAGUCAGCGGUAAAAAUUCGGGGCUCAACCCCGUACUGCCGUUGAAACUGCAU